rnacentral:rRNA from 1 species
AUACGGAAGGUCCGGGCGUUAUCCGGAUUUAUUGGGUUUAAAGGGAGCGCAGGCGGAGAUGCAAGCGUGACGUCAAAUUUCGGGGCUCAACCCCGUCUCGCGUCGCGAACUGCGUCCCUUGGUUGCGGGAAGGGGAGGCGGAACUCGUGGUGUAGCGGUGAAAUGCAUAGAUAUCACGAAGAACUCCGAUCGAGAAGGCAGCCUUCCGGCCCGUCAACGACGCUCAUGCUCGAAGGUGCGGGUAUCAAACAGGAUUAGAUACCCUGGUAGUCCGCACAGUAAACGAUGGACACCCGCGGUUUGGCCUAUAUGGCUGAGCCGCCAAGCGAAAGCGUUAAGUGUCCCACCUGGGGAGUACGCCGGCAACGGUGAAACUCAAAGGAAUUGACGGGG